CACGGGGCCAGCCCCUUGUGGAGCAUUUUUUUAGCAGAGCCAAAGAAGGAAGAUCUUCAUGGCCAGAGAGUGCUUAAGAGUACACCUAGUUGAUUUUGUAAGAUGGUGUACAAAAAGGAAAACCAGACUUCUAGUUUGCUCUCUGGACUCAUUAAUUUCCACCCUGGAAUAAAUAUCCAGGAAGUAUUAUGGUUUUUCUUUUCCCUUUUUUUUUUUCCUUUUGGUCUUGCUCACCUAAAAAGUCCUCCAGCCUAGCUCCAUUUCAAGUUACAACUUCUUCCCUCUCCCAGCUCCAACAUGCUUCAGGCGUGGAUGCCUGCAGUAGGAAGAAGCUCUCCUCCCCAUCUAUGUUCUUCACCACAAAGUGCCACCACAAGAUCUUCGUUCAGUCAAUGACCCUCCCAGGAUCCCUCCUGGUUCCUUUCUUUCCUCAUGCCAACAUGAGGGGCCUCUUGUCCUUUACUUACCUUCAACCCAUUCCACAGAAACACUAUAAUGGCUAAAAAUGAAGGCUGACAACACCUAAUGCCAGCAGGGGUGUGGAGUAACCAGAUCUCUCAUGAAUUGCUGAGAAUGCAAAAUGGUCCUCCAUCACCAUUUUGUUUUUGCUUGCCUCCAUUCUCUUUUGCUUACCUCUCACUGGCCAAGGCUAGGCCACUUGUCUUCUGUUAGACUGGACAAAGAAGAAUGGAAUUUCCAUAACUGGCAUAGAAUAGUUCUCUAUGGCUAGAGAAGAGAGAGAGAAUAAAAAUGCAACCUCCCUGGCCUACUACUAAACGAACAAAGUGAGAACUCUGUUUACAUGUUAGAGGAAGAAAUGGCUAUAACCCACAGUACUGGCACAACUAACAAACUGCGUGAUAUACAGCAGAUCCUGAAAAGUCAGCACACCCUCAAAUCAUUCACUCAACAAAUAUUUGUUGAGCACCUACUAUGUGGCAGGCACUAUUCUCCAUCCCUGGGAUACAUCAGACAUUUGGAUGCAUUCCAAACCUAGUGUAAUUUACAUUCUAGAGGAGGAAGACAGACAAGAAACAAUAAAUAUGAUAAAUAAUAGUAAGAUAUAUGUUUCGUAUAUACAUAGAUACAGAUUUCAUAUACAGAAAGUGAUAAGAGUUUUGUUUUGUUUUAAGAUCAGGGUAAGGUGGGACUGAGUGGAAGCUUUGAGUAGUGUGAUCAGAGAAGGUCUCCUGAGAAAGUGACAACGAUUUGAAGGUGAAAAAGCCAAAGAUUAAGUGCCCUUGGGCCUGAAAAAC
rnacentral:lncRNA from 1 species